rnacentral:rRNA from 1 species
GAUGAACGCUAGCGGGAGGCCUAACACAUGCAAGCCGAGCGGUAGAGUUUCUUCGGAAACUUGAGAGCGGCGCACGGGUGCGUAACACGUGUGCAGCCUACCUUUAUCUGGGGGAUAGCCUUUCGAAAGGAAGAUUAAUACCCCAUAAUAUAAUGAUUGGCAUCAAUUAUUAUUGAAAACUCCGGUGGAUAGAGAUGGGCACGCGCAAGAUUAGAUAGUUGGUGAGGUAACGGCUCACCAAGUCAAUGAUCUUUAGGGGUCCUGAGAGGGAGAUCCCCCACACUGGUACUGAGACACGGACCAGACUCCUACGGGAGGCAGCAGUGAGGAAUAUUGGACAAUGGGUGAGAGCCUGAUCCAGCCAUCCCGCGUGAAGGAUGACGGUCCUAUGGAUUGUAAACUUCUUUUGUACAGGGAUAAACCUACCCUCGUGAGGGUAGCUGAAGGUACUGUACGAAUAAGCACCGGCUAACUCCGUG